UGCGUAGGCGGAUAAAUAAGUCAGUGGUGAAAUCUUUCGGCUCAACCGGGAAACUGCCAUUGAUACUGUUUAUCUUGAGUUCGGCAGAGGUAGGCGGAAUGUGUAAUGUAGCGGUGAAAUGCUUAGAUAUUACACAGAACACCAAUUGCGUAGGCAGCUUACUAUACCGACACUGACGCUGAGGCACGAAAGCGUGGGGAGCGAACAGGAUUAGAUACCCUGGUAGUCC
rnacentral:rRNA from 1 species